rnacentral:tRNA from 1 species
GCAUCCGUAGCUCAAUUGGAUAGAGCAUCUGACUACGGAUCAGAAGGUUCAUGGUUCAACUCCAUGCGGAUGCACCA